rnacentral:lncRNA from 1 species
CACCGCGUCAACUCUUGGCAGCUGUCAGAGCACCCCUCCCCCUCUUCCAGGCAACUUCUUCCAACAGCCCCCUCUGAUGGACCCCAACUCUCCUCUCUCACGCCUCGCCCAUACAGCGAGGCACAAAGAAAUCUCAGUCUCUCCAUAAACUUUGUGCUUCCAGUUAUGCCGCCCCCUCCCCUAGCCUACACCCCCACCCUGCCAGCUUCUUGGCAGGAAGGUUAGGCCACUGGCAAAAUCCUCAGCGAGAGCCAGCUGAUCACAAAUGCCAACUGUGUGUCUUGGGGCCAGUUAAGUCCUCUCAUCUGCCCCAGCUCUCAGGAGACCAUUUCAUUGCUCUCAAGGUUCCCAGGAGACCGCUGCGGACACGGACCAUCCUCUACUUGGCCCGCAAGGAUGGGUUGCUGAGCGGAAUCCCAAAAGCGCUCUUUCUCACCUCGAAUUUUCAUUUUUAGAUUGUAAAAAAUCCGAAUUUGGAGACAGGCAGAUAUUUUUCACACAUCAAAAAGCAGGACCAUCAGCUAGGUGAUUAGCCCCAGGUGGGAAAUGAGCCAUCUCUAAUGAGAAUACUGACUUUUUGAAGAAGUCUGUGGAAGUUCUGAAGUCCUACCCCAGCCCCAUGACCUUUCGUUCGUUUAGUUCUUCUGCCACAGGGAAGCAGCCAGCGACUAAUGAAAGAUUUGAUCUUGCAAUAAUUUCCCAAGCAGACUAGAAAGGAUUCCCAGUCGUGGCAGUGAGUAAGACAUUGAGAAGUAUGCGCAGAAAGAGAAAGGUCAAAAAGCCUGAGAAAAGGUGACUGAAGCCAGAAGAUGGAGCCAAGUUGGAAUCUAGAAACAAUUACCCCCAUUCCAGCUUCCACUAGAGCAAGCAUCACGGUUCAAGAGCAUCUUGGAACCACAGACAGUGUAGUCUGUAUUGAGUGAACAAUGUAUGUGGUCUUCAUUGGUGUGUUAUUAGCCAUUCCUCUUGUCCCCAUUGAUCCUGCUCCUCCAGGCUAUUCUCAACAUGGCAGGCACUGUGAUGCUUUCAGAUCAUAUCAUUCCUCUGCCUAAAUAUCCUGUGGCUUUCCAUCUUACUUAGAGUAAAUCCAAAGUCCUCCGCCACCCUCUUUGACAUCAACUAAUCUCCCUUUCACUUAUUUUCUCCACCUACACUGGUCAGUUCACUGUUCUAGGCACACUCUCCCCUCAGGGUUUUUGCACAAGCUGGCCCCUUUGUCUGAAAGACUUUUCUACCAUAUCUUACUAUGGUUCAC